rnacentral:rRNA from 1 species
UACGUAGGAUGCAAGCGUUGUCCGGAUUACUGGGCGUAAAGCGCGCGCAGGCGGCAGUACAAGUACCCUCUGAAAUCUCCUUGCUCAACGAGGAGGGUGGAGGGUAGACUGUGCAGCUAGAGGAGGGUAGAGGGGGGUAGAAUUGCUGGUGUAGCGGUGAAAUGCGUAGAGAUCAGCAGGAAUACCCGUGGCGAAGACGGCCCCCUGGGCCCUAAAAUCCCCCUUUUGGAAAGCACACCCUUCGGGGUGGAAGCUGCCGAUAGGAAACCUGACGCUGAGGCGCGAAGGCUAGGGGAGCGAACGGG